AAGGAAACCAAUUAGGUUCUGACUAAAUUCCACGGAUUUCCGUUUCUCGAGCGUCUCUUGAGUGCAAUUCGAGAUGGUCCUUUCAUUUGUCUGCGUCUCAAUGUCUCACACUAUCUUCAACCGGUAAAACGAUACGAAAUGCACGUCG
ensembl:ncRNA C29H12.11 ncRNA